rnacentral:rRNA from 1 species
UGGCGAACGGGUGAGUAACACGUGGGUGAUCUGCCCUGCACUCUGGGAUAAGCCUGGGAAACUGGGUCUAAUACCGGAUAGGACCAUGCUUUAGUGUGUGUGGUGGAAAGUGUUUUCGGUGUAGGAUGAGCCCGCGGCCUAUCAGCUUGUUGGUGGGGUAAUGGCCUACCAAGGCGGCGACGGGUAGCCGGACUGAGAAGUUGGUCGGCCACAUUGGGACUGAGAUACGGCCCAG